rnacentral:lncRNA from 1 species
CAAACGUACUGCAGUUUUCAAAUCAUUAGCUAAUAGCUUUAGCUAUUUUUCUAAAAUAAAACCUCAUGAACCAAACAAAUGUUAGUACUCUGUAUUUGGGGGAAAGAUUUAAAUAGCUGUAAAGAACAAAACAGUUAUCUGUUUUUAAACCCAUUAUUUGAAGACCCUGAAGACAGUAAGUUGUUUCAGGACUCAAGUUUUAUGCUGAUAAUAACUUUAUGUUCAUUAAACCAGGUUGGAUAGGACCUCUGCU